UUAACUACUAGUUCCACCUUUGGCAGAUCAUUUUCUGUGUUCAGUCUCAGACUGUCCACUAGUAGAUGAGAGUGAUGAACUACUGGAUGAUAUCUAAGGACACUUUAUGACUCAAAAAGUUUAUGAAGAAGGUAACAAAGACUUGGGUAGCAGAGCUGGACAUAAAUUUCAAAACAACCGUAGCAGCCCUAUUUUGGAGAAUCCCAAAGUAGGUGAGGUGCUCCAGAAGCUUAAGAAGGGAUGCAAGGGUGCAACCUGCUAAUAAACACAGAGGCACAUGAUCUAAACGUGGCCAUUUGGAUACUCCAGAUCAGUCUCAGCUCUUUCUGGAUGAAAUCAGUCUCUCCAGGGACAUCAACCUCACAAUUUGGGAAACAAUGCUCUAGAUAUGAAACAAAUGGAACACAAUGGGAAACCAGCAGCCAUUUGUUUUUCUACUUGGGAGCGUUAGGCUGUACAACAUCCUUCUCAUUACCAAGCCAAGUUACUAUUCAGGAUUGUAAAUUAACUCUUUGUAAUACAAAUGACUUCAGCUACAGAUAAUAAAAUAAUGAAAAAAACUGAAGUCCCUUAUUUCAAGCAAUCUCUGAAACAAAACCAAAGAACCAGAAUAUCCCAGUCAGUGGUCUGUGAUAAAUUUGGCCUAAGAAAAAUGUAUGUGGAAAGUAAAUAACAUAUUAACAAGAAUGCACAGUAAUGUUUACUUAGUACAUGCUGUGUUUAUAAUCCUUAAGAACAUUUUCAAAUAUGUUAAACCAGGUUCAACAAACUACAAACUGGGCCAAAACCAGCCCACUGACUUUUUGUAAAUAAAG